ACAUCCCGGAGACCCUUGGAACUAGGGGUGCUUCCAUCUGGAGAAUCUGGAGACAGGUGCUGCAUGGCUGUCGUCAGCUCGUGUCGUGAGAUGUUGGGUUAAGUCCCGCAACGAGCGCAACCCUUGCCUUUAGUUGCCAGCAGUUCGGCUGGGCACUCUAAAGGGACUGCCGGUGUUAAACCGGAGGAAGGUGGGGAUGACGUCAAGUCCUCAUGGCCUUUAUGACCAGGGCUACACACGUACUACAAUGGCCGAUACAAAGGGCAGCGACACUGCGAGGUGAAGCCAAUCCCGUAAAAUCGGUCUCAGUCCGGAUUGGAGUCUGCAACUCGACUCCAUGAAGUUGGAAUCGCUAGUAAUCGUGGAUCAGCAUGCCACGGUGAAUACGUUCCCGGGCCUU
rnacentral:rRNA from 1 species